rnacentral:rRNA from 1 species
GGCCUUAGUGGCGCACGGGUGCGUAACGCGUGGGAAUCUGCCCUUUGGUUCGGAAUAACAGCUGGAAACGGCUGCUAAUACCGGAUGAUGACGAGAGUCCAAAGAUUUAUCGCCAGAGGAUGAGCCCGCGUUGGAUUAGGUAGUUGGUGGGGUAAAGGCCUACCAAGCCGACGAUCCAUAGCUGGUCUGAGAGGAUGAUCAGCCACACUGGGACUGAGACACGGCCCAGACUCCUACGGGAGGCAGCAGUGGGGAAUAUUGGACAAUGGGCGCAAGCCUGAUCCAGCAAUGCCGCGUGAGUGAUGAAGGCCCUAGGGUUGUAAAGCUCUUUUACCCGGGAAGAUAAUGACUGUACCGGGAGAAUAAGCCCCGGCUAACUCCGUGCCAGCAGCCGCGGUAAUACGGAGGGGGCUAGCGUUGUUCGGAAUUACUGGGCGUAAAGCGCACGUAGGCGGCUUUGUAAGUCAGAGGUGAAAGCCUGGAGCUCAACUCCAGAACUGCCUUUGAGACUGCAUCGCUUGAAUCCAGGAGAGGUCAGUGGAAUUCCGAGUGUAGAGGUGAAAUUCGUAGAUAUUCGGAAGAACACCAGUGGCGAAGGCGGCUGACUGGACUGGUAUUGACGCUGAGGUGCGAAAGCGUGGGGAGCAAA